rnacentral:lncRNA from 1 species
GAUUUAAGAGCUCAAGGACGUAGAGAGAGCUUCAAAAACAAUACGUAAGUAGUGCAACAAUAGAGUAGCAUUCCCAGUUAAAAAAUAAUCGUAAUUUAAUUUUAUAUAAUAGAUGUUACUACUGCUAAUGUAAAAUCUUUUAUAAAAUUCUAAACUCGUGCUACAGAUUGUAACUUGAACACUAUAGAGAAACGCAACGAUUUUAAGUACCGAACAGUGUACAACACGAGCAUGAUUAGCAUUUCAAGGGCUUUGGAAGAUAUGAAAAAAAAAGAGCCGCGCAUAUUCAACUCGCAAACAAAAAUGCCUCUCAAUUCUCAUUCAUGAAGUUACAUUCAAGCGCGAGAAAACUUGAAAAUAGUUAACUUCACAAUAGUUUCUAUAAGCCUAAGAAGUUUUCUAUAAGAACCAAAAUCCUUUCAAACAUCAAAGAAAUGGGGCACUAGCCAAAUAAACAAAUGGAAAACUACCUGCUUGAGAGGAAAUGUUGGCGCUUGACUGUGCUGCGAGUGUCCAAGCUCGUACGCUAGAACCGCAAUGAUCUCAUAGGUUUUGCAGCCUCGACUUUCCUUAAGCUUUGCAUCUAUACCUUAUUUUCUUCGACGGUGUCUUCGCUGCAUGGAGCUAGACAAAUAAUGGCGGAUGAAGCGAUUGAGAAGUUCGUAAUUAAGUUAAGUAUGAUCUAGCAAGUAUGACUGAUUCUGGGUGCAGCAAGAGAAGCCUUAAUUGACAUAAUGCAUCACUGACUAGGACUCAGCGACGAGGGUGUCGGACAAUACUAUCCACUUGAACUUGAAUUUGCACAGAUACGCAAUUCUGCGAGGCGGUCUAAGCAAACCCUUGACAAUGCAGAGCUUGUUUAGAGGGAAAUUGAUACUCGAAGCGAAUGCCUCUGUACGAUUCUUGAGAUGGCCCUUCGACGGCGGCCUGUACUUGUUGAUCAAUUUGCUCCGGAUGAUUGUCAGGAGUAGAUUAAUACCGACGUAUCCAUGAAGCGAUAAUAUAUUAAAAAGAACCAAGAGGCACACAUCCGCCGAUAAAAAAUGACAGUUUUCUUUCUACGUCAGCGAUGCUCUGAGCAAGACCACCGAUGAUCAGGACCGAUGUCGUCGACUAUAGUGAUGUCUGGGAACUCUUCUCUACUAUUUGUCGUGCCUGUUACUUGACUAGCGCCGUACAUUGCUGAAUGCAGCAAAUGUAAAAAAAAUUAAUUGGAAAAAAGUAUUAUAAUCGCUUUAUAGGCGAUACAAUUUUAAUGGGUACCGUUAUAUUAAAUGGAAAAAAUAGUCGCAUUUUGUA